AGUUAAUAAAACAGAACAUUUUGAUCUCAGGUAUGAACACAGUGAACAGUAGGCCCGUAAUUAUCAUUACGGCAUAGAACCUAAUAUAUCCCCCGCAGUGCCCUUACAGUAGCACAUAAUGGUAUUGAUGAUAUCUUAUGGGGAAGUAGUGUUGCAGUACAUUAAGAUAUAAUAAAACUGAUGCAGAAUCCAAGAUAGCCUUGUACACAGGAUGGGCCUUAAACCAAGCCUCACAUCUUGUGACAGAUAUCCCUCUAGUCUGUAUGCUGGCUUGAAUGAAAUAAUUGUACUGAAUUGUAUCCGGUAUUGCAGAGUUUUGGAAUGAGGGCAGAUGGGCUUAUUAAUAGUUAAUCUGAAUGCUAGCAGGAAUGUGUCUGUGACGCCAGCACUCAUGCAUACAGUUGCCACAGCCGUGUCUGAAGAGGGGGGCACAUCACUCCCAGGUGGCUGUCGCCAUGACAAUAAGGUUUUCCAGAGGGUGUUGUGGACUUUUGUGCAUUAGCACAGGGCUUUAUAUAAGCUUUCCAUGGAGCGACACAGCCUUUACGUAAGAGAGGGGCAGAGUGGCUUUUGGCCUCGACAGCCUUAAGCAAGUGCUACUGAAGCUGGAUUGAAAGGGUACAUCCACCAAAUAAUAUGGAGCAUGUGGAUUGAGUGGUUUGUGGUGUCAGCUUGAGCAGGUCAGCUGGAGCUUAAUGCAUGAAAAACCUUUUAGCUAACUGGGAGGAGAUUUUGCUGGUAUGGCUCUUUAUUAGCACAGUAACCCAUGAUGAUGAAGCACUUCCCACAGUGUGCUCACAGAACACCACGCGAUCUCUGUGAAGCCCUGUUGAACCUGUGCUGCUUGCCAUGACUCAGCAUCUCUCAGGACACUGCAGCAUUCAGCACUCAGCCUCCAGCAGAUAGAUCAAUAUUAUAGAGAGGAAACAGAUGCUGCUAGGAGAGACACGCCCGUCUCAGUCCUGCUCAGAGGUUAUAAUGCUUUAACAGAAUUACUUGAUGUCAGUGGUGUAAUUCGAUCAUAAAAUAUGUCCACUUAGGAAAACCAUAACAGACACUGUCACUGUCAGCAGGGAAGAAACCUGAUAAAGAAGCAAAGUCUUUGGAUUUAAAUGAAUGUAAUGAUGGUGAACUUUAAGUCUGUUCUAGAUUUUAAUCAGUGCAUGGUUUGUCAGACACU